rnacentral:rRNA from 1 species
AGGGAAUCUUCGGCAAUGGACGGAAGUCUGACCGAGCAACGCCGCGUGAGUGAAGAAGGUUUUCGGAUCGUAAAGCUCUGUUGUAAGAGAAGAACGAGUGUGAGAGUGGAAAGUUCACACUGUGACGGUAUCUUACCAGAAAGGGACGGCUAACUACGUGCCAGCAGCCGCGGUAAUACGUAGGUCCCGAGCGUUGUCCGGAUUUAUUGGGCGUAAAGCGAGCGCAGGCGGUUAGAUAAGUCUGAAGUUAAAGGCUGUGGCUUAACCAUAGUAGGCUUUGGAAACUGUUUAACUUGAGUGCAAGAGGGGAGAGUGGAAUUCCAUGUGUAGCGGUGAAAUGCGUAGAUAUAUGGAGGAACACCGGUGGCGAAAGCGGCUCUCUGGCUUGUAACUGACGCUGAGGCUCGAAAGCGUGGGGAGCAAACAGGAUUAGAUACCCUGGUAGUCCACGCCGUAAACGAUGAGUGCUAGGUGUUAGACCCUUUCCGGGGUUUAGUGCCGCAGCUAACGCAUUAAGCACUCCGCCUGGGGAGUACGACCGCAAGGUUG